rnacentral:tRNA from 2 species
GGCUCCGUAGCUCAACGGUGGAGCGUGCGACUCAUAAUCGCCUGGUUACUGGUUCGAAUCCAGUCGGAGCCA